rnacentral:rRNA from 1 species
UUGCUAUACGAGGUAUUGAAUAAGGCUUUAAUUGAGUGCUAAGAGAAUGAUUUAACAAAAAUUGACUUUCUUUUUAUUUAAAAUAAAAAUUGAUUUAAUAAUGAAAAAGUUUUUAUGAAUUUUUGGGACAAGAAGACCCUAUGAAUUUUUUUUAAAAUUUUAUUUAUUAUUAAUAAAGGAAAAUAAAAUAUUAUUUUAAAUUGGUUGGGGUGACUUUUAAAGAAUGAGUAUCUUUAAAAAGUAAAUAAUUUGAACCUUAAUUUAAGGUUAUUAGUAAAAAAUACUCUAGGGAUAACAGCGUAAUUAUUUUGGAUAGUUCAUAUAGAUGAAAUAGUUUGCGACCUCGAUGUUGGAUUAAGAUAUUUAUAUGAUGUAGAAGUUAUAUUAAAAAGUUUGCUCAACUUUUAAAUUCUUACUUGAUCUGAGUUCAGACCGGA